GAUGAAGAACGCAGCGAAAUGUGAUACUUGGUGUGAAUUGCAGAAUCCCGUGAACCAUCGAGUCUUUGAACGCAAGUUGCGCCCGAAGCCAUUAGGCCGAGGGCACGCCUGCCUGGGCGUCACACGUCGUUGCCCCCCCCAUCUACUCCUUCGGGAUUGCGGGGGGCGGAUGAUGGCCUCCCGUGCGCCUCGCCGCGCGGUUGGCAUAAAUGCCAAGUCCUCGGCGACGCACGCCACGACAAUCGGUGGUUGCGAAACCUCGGUUGCCCGUCGUGUGCGGUCGUCGCGCAUCGAGGGCUCGAAAAAAUUGCCGAGUUCCGGCUCGGCUUUCAACGCGACCCCAGGUCAGGCGGGGUUACCAGCUGAAUUUAAGCAUAUCAAUAAGCGGAGGA
rnacentral:misc_RNA from 1 species